GUAAAAGCGGUAGGCGGACUACACAGUGUUCAGAAAAACCGUUUGUAUUCAGAAUGUAAUUGGGUGCGCGAUGGUGCUCACGCAAAAUCCACAUAACACAGAUCUGCGUAAAAAAAUUACACAGAUUGUAGAACAUGUUCUAGCUGUCAAAACGGUUGAGUUUUAUAACACAGAUCUGUGUAAAAAAUUACACAGAUUUUCGAUCAGCUUUCGUUUCAAAUUUGGGUAAAAACCAAAAAACUUAAGAUGGCGACUUUCAUGCAGUUCCGAGAAACUUGAUUUUUUAUCAUUUUGGCCAUCAGUUCCAAUAAGAAUCAGUCCUAGAUUGGAUUUUCAACUUUUCAGAUUGGUAGCUUGUCCUACUUCGUGUGCUGCAUAAGCGCCAGGCUUGCCCGCUGCGAAACUAUCCACAAGAUUGAAGAUUGUUUACGAAACCUUUUUAACAGAAGAUAACUACAGAUUGUCAAGGGAAACAUAUUGGCCAAUGUUUGACAGAUCCAAACGUGCUGGACACCAACCGCCCUUUACGCCCAGCAAAACUGGCAUUGUUGCAAGCGCAAAACAUACGUGCCUAUUUAUUUUUCAUCGACCAAUCUUUUUCCCAUGACAAUCAGUAUACUUAUAAAGAUAACCGGAAGAAUUUCUAAAACAAGGUCCAGUUCGAUGGUUUGGCCGUGGAUAAUGUAGAGUCCAAGGUACCGCCUCUUAAUCACCCAAAUCGACGGUAACAUUUCAAAAGGCAUCAUGUACAUUUUGACACUUUCUGCACUCAAAGUAAAAAGUAUCCUUUUUUCAAGUUCACCCGUCGUCACCCUUUAAAAGGGUAUCGAAAAUGUACUGAAUUUAACAUACCCUUUUGAAAGGGUGACGCCGGGUGAACUUUAAAAAAGGAUAGAAAGUAUCCUUUUUGAGGAUUGAAAGUACCCUUUUGAGGGAUACUUCUGACUUUGAGAGUGGGUUAUUACAUAUUCUAAAAGUACUCCUAAUGAGCUUCCUCUCCACCAAAAAUGAGCAAAAGUUACUUCAGUAAAGUCUGUUUAAUUAUGAUUUUAAAUAAAGUAACAUAAACAAAAUCUCUCCCAUCAGCAGUUCCUGUUUAUAUAGCCCUGUCAACCUGUCAAACAAAAAACUACAUAAACCUCGUGACGAAAAAAAAAGCAUCAUGAACAAAGCGCCAUGUACAUUCGGCGAAGAAAAACGAAUCGUAACAAAGCGCUCCCUUCAAUGCCAGCAGGGUGAAUUAGACGUUGGUGAUUUCAAAAGGAGUUAUGUUUGUUUUUCUUAAAUAAAACGACGGAAAUAAUGUUUUAUUGAAUUUGGAUGAUCAAGUAUCAAUGAAAGCAAAGUUUUUCAUCGUUUGUUAUUAUUAGAACAUCUUAUUUUGCUCGAUUUUGCUUUUAUAUUAAAACGGGAAUUGAAAAUGGAUGCUCAACAUUCAAAUGCGUUUUUCUCAAAACGAAUGGUUUGUACAUGAUGCUUUUUGAAAUGUUGGCGUCGUUUUUGCCUUCCUCCCCACUGAGAAUUUUGGCCCGAGCCUCGAGUCGAUCUGGCUCGAGAUCGAGCCUGAAUCGAGUGGGUCACCUCAAUAGACAAAUCCAGCGAAAGCUCAACGCUGCUUUUUGAUGGUGAGAGAUUUGACAGCUCCCAUAAGGCUUUCUAGUCAGAAAUUUACCAACACAUUCAAAGUAUGUUUACAUGACAGCUGGACUUUUGUUUGCAUCAGGUUUCCUAUCUCUUUCUAGCAAAUUUUUUGUUGUCAAGCGACUUCUAGCUGGUUUAUUUAACUGACUGCCCGAUAUGUCAGCCAACAUACUUCGCAGGUCUGUGACAGCUACAGCUCGAUCAUUGUUUGCAUCAGGACACUGUGACGAGGAGUUCGUCAUUUUCGAGUUAAAUUAUAUUUUUUUCACUGGGCCUAGAAAGCCUUAUACUAAAUGUCUCGAUUUUCAUAUUUUUUGUUAAUUAUCUUUUAAAAUAAAAUACUUAACAUAUGAAAACUAUAUAUUUUUGGUGCCCAAAAUUCCUGCUGAAUCGAAUGGUGUACUUAUCUCGCUUGCAAAUUUUUUGAGCAGUUUUCAUUUUAAUAAUAUUCUAGACACAUUUUGUGCACCUAAUCAAUCAAUACUUUUAUCAUAAAUAAUCAUUUUAUUGCUUAAAAUUGAGUUUUCCUGAGCUCCCAUAUUCAAAUACAUGGAAGCUGUCAUUUCUAACACCAUUGGCCACCUAGCGGCCAUUUCAAACUGGAUUCAUCUAUGAGGAAA